GAUAGGUCGCUGCUGCCACAGUGAUUGGACACUGACGCAGGGUCAACUAGCCUUGAUGAGGUGGCUCUUCGGUACGGAGCCCAGAACGGCCCGAGCCACGAGGGGGGAGGCUCGGGCCGUUCCCC
rnacentral:ncRNA from 1 species